CUCCUGAGUAGCUGGGAUUGCAGGCACCCACCACCACGCCUGGCUAAUUUUCUUUCUUUCUUUUUUUUUUUUUUGUAUUUUAAUAGAGACGGGCUUUCACCACAUUGGCCAGCUGGUCUCGAACUCCUGAGCUCAGGCAAUCCGCCCGCCUCGGCCUCCCAAAGUGCUAGGAUUAGACGUGAGCCACCACACCCGGCCUGUGGCUGUUUUUAAAGCACGGCAUCCUCCUGCUCCACUUGCCCUUUGCUGCUUUUUGGAGGCAUCAUUUUCUUGGACCCACUUCUUUUCUGUCUAUUUUUCUUGCUGAGUUUUCAUAGUUUGCUGGGUUUUCAGUUUGGUGGGUAUUAGUUGAACAUUUUCUGUGUGCCAGGAGCUGGAAAAAACAGGAUGAAAAGACACAGACCUCAGGUGUAGUGGAGACAAAAGAGACAAAGUCUCACUUUGUUACAUGGGCCUGUCUUAAACUCCUGGGCUCAAGUGAUCCUCCUGCCUUGGCCUCCCAAAGAACCUGUGUUUCAUCGUAUGUUAAUUACACAUCAAUAAAGCUGAUUUGAAGGAAAAACCACCACCACAAACGAGCAAGAAUGAAAUAACACACCAUAGCAUCACAGGGAAGGAAAAUGUAAAAAAAAGAAUCAAUGAAGUUUCCUGAUGACUAAAAAAUAUUGUUAGAAAACAAUUUCUGAUAUAUCAGCUUUUACCCCAAUAAACAGAGGGCAAGAGUUUGUUAAAAA
rnacentral:lncRNA from 1 species